rnacentral:snoRNA from 1 species
AUGACCUUACUUGAGCAGGAGCUGUUCUAUAGGCUCGUACGUCCCUAUAUCCUUCAGCAAAAAAAAAAAAAAACAAAAAAACA